rnacentral:rRNA from 1 species
ACGAACGCUGGCGGCAGGCCUAACACAUGCAAGUCGAGCGCCCCGCAACGGGAGCGGCGGACGGGUGAGUAACGCGUGGGAACGUACCCUUUGCUACGGAAUAGCCUCGGGAAACUGGGAGUAAUACCGUAUGUGCCCUUCGGGGGAAAGAUUUAUCGGCAAAGGAUCGGCCCGCGUUGGAUUAGGUAGUUGGUGGGGUAAUGGCCUACCAAGCCGACGAUCCAUAGCUGGUUUGAGAGGAUGAUCAGCCACACUGGGACUGAGACACGGCCCAGACUCCUACGGGAGGCAGCAGUGGGGAAUCUUAGACAAUGGGCGCAAGCCUGAUCUAGCCAUGCCGCGUGAGCGAUGAAGGCCUUAGGGUUGUAAAGCUCUUUCAGUGGGGAAGAUAAUGACUGUACCCACAGAAGAAGCCCCGGCU